rnacentral:misc_RNA from 1 species
CGAGUUCGGGUCUAUAUGGCCCAUCUCUCCAACCCUUUGUCUACCUGACCUCUGUUGAUUCGGCGGACCCGUCUCUCACGAGACCGCCGGAGGGUGUAAGCCCUCUGGCCCGCGUCCGUCGAUGGCCCUUAUCAAAACUCUUAAUAAAAUGUGUCAUGUCUGAACAAACAUUUAAUUAAAGAAAAAACUUUCAACAACGGAUCUCUUGGUUCUGGCAUCGAUGAAGAACGCAGCGAAAUGCGAUAAGUAAUGCGAAUUGCAGAAACCGUGAGUCAUCGAACCUUUGAACGCACAUUGCGCCCUUUGGCAUUCCGAAGGGCAUGCCUGUUCGAGCGUCAUUAUCACCCCUCAAGCUCUGGCUUGGUGUUGGAUCGGGUAGAGUGAUACCCAUCUCAAAGAUAAUGAUGCCGCCCCAGAGGGACACGGUACGAGGACCUUCUCGUUAAGCAUGUACCGAAGACGACUCUGUGGACGGUGGUCUUGUACUUAAAUAUACCUAAGUGUUGACCUCGGAUCAGGUAGGAAUACCCGCUGAACUUAAGCAUAUCAAUAAGCGGAGGA